CCUAUCACCACCCUUUCCUUCCUCACCUUUGCAUGGGGUGGCAGUGCUGGUAAGAGUUUAAGUAAUCUAUUCUUUAGAUUUGUCCUAUGUCCAUGUUAGUUUGCUAAUAACCUUAUUUCUUUAAGAUGGGCAUGUAACCUUAUUUCACUUAUUAUAAUAUAACUUUCUAAGUCUUUAUCUUAUUUUUGCUGUCUUCCAGAUUCACCACCCAUGUGUGCUUUUGUGCCCUUUAUUGAAUUAAACUCAGUCAAACUUUCUGGAAAAUAAACUUAUGUUUGAAAAAUCAUUUCCUGGAAUUUUUGGCUUUACUAUACAGUUUUCCAGUAAUGACUAAAAAAAUGCACAUGUAUAGCUGUUGUUGUGGUUGUUGUGGUUGUGGUUGUUGUUGUGGUUGUUGUUGUGGUUGUUGUUGCUUACUAGUAAAAGCACCGUGAAAGAAACUUGAACAGGAGACAUUUAAGUUUAAUAUAAAUAUAUUCAUUAAUUCAUUUUAAUUGUUCAAACUGAUCACAUGCUCUUCAUGAAAACUGACAUGGACAUAGUGGGGGUCAUCGUGAACAAGAAUCCACUGAAAGAUUUAUAUAACCUAUUUAGGAUUUCCUUUAAAUUAAUAUUUAAUGAGGAAAUUAUGAUAGGGUAAUUUGAGCAGACUUUUCCUUAAAUUUCUCAAACUGUGCAGCUAAACUACAUAAAAAUUGACACAAACAUGGUCAGGGUCAUUUUGAACAAGAAUCCGUUAAAAUAUUUACAUAACCUAUGAAGAUUUAAAAAAAAAAAAAAAAAAAAAAUUAAUAAUAAUUAGGGGUGUAAUGGUACACAGAAAUCUCGGUUCGGUACGUACCUCGGUACACAAGUCACGGUUCAGUUUUUUUUGGUACAGUAAUGAAAAAAAUAGACAACUAUUAAAUAUCUUUUACUUAUUGGUACCCUUACACUCAAAAAACCAGAUUGGGUGUCUGCUAAAUUAAUCUAAGUGUAACAUGUUGCUUCUACCAUAUAUAGUCAUGUUUUGUGGUUGAACAUCAUUAAGUAAUGUUAUUUUAGCAUGAUGUGCAAUAACUUAACAUUUACUAAAUUCAGUUAUGCUGGCAGAACCUAAUGCUUUUUGGGUAAGAUAUCAAAUGGCGUGUACAACUCCAAAACAGAAGGUGGCAGUAGUUUGCGAGCAGGGAGUGCAUUUACAAACUUUACUUCCGGAAGUUGCAGAAGAAGGCAGAGCGGCGCCACACACGAAAAAGACGGGCGGCCGGAAAAGUUGGAGAAGGCGGUAAGAGAAAUUCAAGACCAAGUUUCCUCUGUCAUCAAGCAAAACCUGUUUCAUCAACCGAGUGACUGCAGUAUAGGGUCAUCUACCAAUAAAUUCAAGACCAAGUGUGUGGAGCCAUUCACCUCAACUGCCAUCCCUUCGCAAAAGUGUCCCAGAAAAGGG